AUAAGCGGAGGAAAAGAAACUAACAAGGMYUCCCCUAGUAACUGCGAGUGAAGCGGGAAAAGCUCAAAUUUAAAAUCUGGCAGAUGCUUGUCUGUCCGAGUUGUAACCUAGAGAAGUGUAACCUGUGCUGGACCGUGUACAAGUCUCCUGGAAUGGAGCAUCAUAGAGGGUGAGAAUCCUGUCUUUGACACGGACUACCCAGUGCAUUGUGGUUGCGCACUCAACGAGUCGAGUUGUUUGGGAAUGCAGCUCUAAAUGGGUGGUAAAUUCCAUCUAAAGCUAAAUAUUGGCGAGAGACCGAUAGCGAACAAGUACCGUGAGGGAAAGAUGAAAAGAACUUUGGAAAGAGAGUUAAACAGUAUGUGAAAUUGUUGAAAGGGAAACGCUUGAAGUCAGCUGCAUUGGCUGGGGAUCAAGCCAGCUUAUUUGCUGGGUGUACUUCCUGGUUGAUGGGCCAACAUCAGUUUUGACCAUCAGAGAAAGGCAGAGGGAAUGUGGCACCUUUAUAGGUGUGUUAUAGCCCUUGGUUGUAUGUGGUGGUUGGGACUGAGGAUAGCAGCGUGCCACAAGGCCGGGUUUCGACUACGUUCACGCUUUGGAUGUUGGCAUAAUGGCUUUAAGCGACCCGUCUUGAAACA
rnacentral:rRNA from 1 species